CUUAUGGAUGUGGGGAAAAAAAAAAAGGCUUGGUUGUGGUCAUGUGUCAGUACCUGAUUUCCAUUGCCUGAUGUGCCAGAGUGAAAAUAUUUUGUUUUUCUCACUUCAGUGUGGAGGGCAGUGAGGCUCCACUGACAUGCUUGCUGGCAGUACCAGCAAAAAGCAAGGCUGGAGAGGGACUUUGGAGUAUCCUGUGGUGUUGGAUGUGCUGCCUUUAGUGAUGGAAAGAACUAAUCUGUAAUGAGGACCAGAUUCCAGUUUUGGAGCCCUGCUUGUGAUUCACACAGAGAUAGCAGGAACCCCCACAUCUGGGUGCCUGGCUGCACGUGUGCUUCCAGACUAACCCUGUCAUCCUUGCACAUCUAGCUGUGUCUAGGCAGUCAGAGAUACGAAUGUUGGGUUUUGUGCUGCCCUCAUCCCACUUUGCAGCUCUCAAAGGGAGAGGGAUUGUACCUCUAGCUGGAUGAAACCUGUGGGCUGCUUUUAAUACCAUCCUGACUCACCCCACCUUGUUGCCCACCUUGUUUAUAAAGAUACGCUGAUUCUCUCAUGGAAUAACUUUUUGCAUCUGUCCUUUUAUAUUAAAAAAUGCCUUCCGGGACAUGUUUUUUAAGCACAUCAAUGUCAAGAAUUAAAACGUGCCAAUCUGAAUCCAUGUGGACAACUUCUGGGCCAUUUAGAAGAAUCUGACAGAUGUGCUCUAUGAAAUGCUGGAUUUUGUAGAGAUACUGACCGAGCUUUAGUACUGCUGGAAGAAUAUUGCAAAAAACUGCGUAAGCCAGAAGAGCAACAACUGAAAAAAGCCAUCAGAAAGGUGAUGGGCAUCUUUAAGAGCAGCUUGUUUCAGGCACUCCUAGAACUGUUAACCUGGAUACAGAGGUGUGCAUGGUUACCAGGAAUGAAGUUAACAAAAUUAUGUGCCAAAUUCAGUUUUUGUAGCUCCUACA
rnacentral:lncRNA from 1 species